CACGGUUUUAACUGGAGAGCUUCCGGGAGCAGAGCAGUGGGCACCCUAACGGAAAGGCAUCCUCUCCUCCCUCCAUCAGAAUUCCAGGCGGCCUCCACAUCCUUAGGAGUCAGGGAACACCGUUUUCACUUGAACACACAGAAUGUGAGCUCCGUGAGGGCAGGAUCUAUGCCGCUGGUGGCUGGAACAGUGUGUCUGGAACACAGAGGAUGGAGAAUAAGUACUUGAAUACAUACAUAUCUAAGUUGGGACAACGAACAGUGGAGCCUUCUGAACUCAGCUGUGCAUGGAUAUGAGAUUUCAAGCUUUUCUCUUGUGAUUAGCUCCCUACUCCACUAUGAGAGGAACUUAAAAUGUUUUGAGUUAACCAGCUUCGUUACAUGAACCUGGUCACGAAGAAAAGUUCAGCAAUUCCUUUGUACCAACCGAGCA